rnacentral:rRNA from 1 species
AUGACGGGUAUCCGGCCUGAGAGGGUGAACGGACACACUGGAACUGAGACACGGUCCAGACUCCUACGGGAGGCAGCAGUAGGGAAUAUUGCUCAAUGGGCGCAAGCCUGAAGCAGCAACGCCGCGUGGAGGAUGAAGGUUUUAGGAUUGUAAACUCCUUUUGUCAGAGAAGAUAAUGACGGUAUCUGACGAAUAAGCACCGGCUAACUCCGUGCCAGCAGCCGCGGUAAUACGGAGGGUGCAAGCGUUACUCGGAAUCACUGGGCGUAAAGAGUGCGUAGGCGGGGUUGUAAGUCAGAUGUGAAAUCCUAUGGCUUAACCAUAGAACUGCAUUUGAAACUA